rnacentral:rRNA from 1 species
ACCGGCGAACGGGUGAGUAACACGUAGGCAACUUACCCUGUGGACGGGGAUAACCCCGGGAAACCGGAGCUAAUACCCGAUGUAGUCCCGAUGUGGCAUCAGAACGGGAUGAAAAGUUCCGGCGCAAGUCGGAAUGUCGCAGGAGAGGCCUGCGUCCCAUUAGAUAGUUGGCGGGGUAACGGCCCACCAAGUCAACGAUGGGUAGCUGGUCUGAGAGGAUGAUCAGCCACACUGGAACUGAGACACGGUCCAGACUUCUACGGAAGGCAGCAGUGAGGAAUAUUGCUCAAUGGGCGAAAGCCUGAAGCAGCGACGCCGCGUGAGGGAUGAAGUCCGUUAGGAUGUAAACCUCUUUUGCAGGAGAAGAAUGUGGCGCCUUGAGCGCCAUUGACGGUACCCCUGCGAAUAAGCACCGGCCAACUACGUGCCAGCAGCCGCGGUAAUACGUAGGGUGCAAGCGUUGUCCGGAUUUACUGGGUGUAAAGGGUCCCGCAGGCGGAACCAAGUAAGUCGGUGGUGAAAAGUUCACGGCUCAACCGUGAAAUUGCCUUCGAUACUGCCUUGUCUUGAGUGUGGGAGAGGAUGACGGAAUUCAUGGUGUAGCGGUGAAAUGCGUAGAUAUCAUGAAGAACACCAGUUGCGAAGGCGGUCAUCUGGCCCAUAACUGACGCUCAGGGACGAAAGCGUGGGGAGCAAACAGGAUUUAGAUACCCUGGUAGUCCACGCCUUAAACGAUGGAUACUAGGUGUCGGGCCGUAAGGCUCGGUGCCAAAGCUAACGCAUUAAGUAUCUCACCUGGGGAGUACGAUCGCAAGGUUGAAACUCAAAGGAAUUGACGGGGGCCCGCACAAGCAGUGGAGCAUGUGGUUCAAUUCGAUGCAACGCGAAGAACCUUACCUGGGUUUGAAAGGCAAGUGACAGGCGAUGAAAGUCGCCCUCCCCGCAAGGGGCACUUGUACAGGUGCUGCAUGGCUGUCGUCAGCUCGUGCCGUGAGGUGUUAGGUUAAGUCCUGCAACGAGCGCAACCCCUGCACUUAGUUGCCAUCAGGUAAUGCUGGGCACUCUAAGUGGACUGCCUACGCAAGUAGCGAGGAAGGUGGGGAUGACGUCAAGUCCUCAUGGCCCUUACACCCAGGGCCACACACGUGCUACAAUGGCCGCUACAAAGGGUCGCUAUGGCGCAAGCCGGAGCCAAUCCCAAAAAAGCGGUCUCAGUUCGGAUUGGGGUCUGCAACUCGACCCCAUGAAGCUGGAAUUGCUAGUAAUCGCGCAUCAGCACGGCGCGGUGAAUACGUUCCCGGGCCUUGCA